UUUCCCUACCACUAAUCUUUUUCCCUACCACUACUCCUACCUCUCCACCACACUACUCCUUUUCCCCCACCACUACAUUCUUUCUCCCACUCUCACAACUUUUCUCCCACCAUUAUCACACUCCAUAGAAGCCUUUGAAGCCCCAAGAGAAGUAGCAAAGCAAGGGAGAGUGUGGGAAAACUAUAGAGUGAAGGUUGUGCUUCGAGGGUCCGGGCGACAGAAAGUGAAGCCGAAGAAGAAACGACUCCACGCCAGCUUUAAGAACAAUUGAGGUUGAGCAGGCGAUGGAAUGGAUCGGUGUUGAGCGGAUUUCCCUUUUGAUGUUUAUGUAAUGAAACCUUGAGUAUGCAUCUCCAUAUGCAUAACUCACACGUUUUUUUUCGCUGCAAACACUCUGACUUAUUUAUCAUUUCUACUUGAACUUAUUACUACUUCAUUUUAAUUAACUUUCAGUUGGGGUCUAGUCGUUAUGGCAGACUCAUUUGUGAAUUACCCAAGUGGUUAUAUAUAUAUACCACUAGUUUGUUAUUAA